AGACAUGUGACCAUGCCACCUGGUAGUAGAGUCCUUCUUGAGUCUAGUACUUUUCCAUAGUGGUAGGGAGACUAAACAAAAGGUCCCCAUACUGGGAGAAAGUCUACGUAUUUAAGGAAUGGAAAGCCUUAAAAAUGGUUUUACCCAUCCUAAAAGGAUACAUAUGAAGAAACCUGAAAACAAGGAACGGUAGCAUAGGAGUGAAGGCAAAGUUGCUGGACUCAAGUAAGAAAAAUCAACUCUGUCUUGAGAAGAAUUGUUCAAGGGGUGUGGUAGCCUCAACUCUAUGCCUUCGCUGAGGGAGACUAGAGUUUCUGGCCCAGCAGAGCAGGAGAGCGUGCAUCAGUGGUUUGAUCAGCACACCGGGGGAUUUCUGUGAUCCAACGCAUCCCAAACAAUGAAGGAAUUUCAAAUGUGAAGUAGCUUCUAGAUCUGGAACUUUGGCUAAGCAUGAUGAACCAACACUGGGCCUGAACAUCAAUGAACAGAUGAGAGCUUUCUGUGAACAUGACCCAUCUGUCCACAUUUUCAUCCAGAAUAUCAGAGAGCCAAGGUCAACUGGAAAAAAAAAUUGGCCUGAAAGCACAGAACCUACACACUGAUGGUUUUGAGUUCCCACAGAUCCAUUCACUCAUCUCUUCCACUGCAACUCAUUGUUGGUCUUGAGCUAUGCUGCUGUGAUAUUACUUCUUUGUGGGAGCCAAGGACAAAUUGAGGUGGAAUCAUUCAACAUGUGCAUAACAAGAAAGUGAUCAACUUCUCAGGAAUAAGCACAUAAAAGCUGUCAGAACUCUCCUGCCCCCCAACCAUGAAAUAUAGUACAUUUAUAUAUUUUUCUUAGUGCUGCCAAUAAUUCACAGCAGAGGAUCAGACACAAAACACAUGCUAAUUUUUUUAAAAUAAUAAAUAAAAAGGCAACACUAUCCAAGCAAUGUUCUGAUUAGGUGUCAGUUGAGAUCAAUGUCAGUGAGCAGUUUCUUACUCUCUAAUGAUAUUCUCAUAAGGUGUGUUUCCGGGCUGUACUGAGUUUGUCUUGGAAUCCAGGUUGUCACUCCAUAAAUCAAAGAGAUUCGUACUACCCGUCACUACUCUGGAGACGGUACGACUUUUAGAAAGUACGGGUAACUCUUGCCACGUACAUUAUGUCUUGACUGCAAAAUUAGCCAUGUCAUCUGCACUGUGUCACUUGCUGCCAAUAGCCUGGCUAUAAUUAUAUGUACAGCAUUUUACUUAAUCUUCCUGUCACUUGCAAAAGGUGACAUUGAUGUAGCAGCAGGAAACCUCCUUCAAGAAUUAUAACAAAGCAACAAAGGACACACAUUUAAGAGUAUAUGCAUCA